GAUGAACGCUGGCGGCGUGCCUAAUACAUGCAAGUCGAGCGAACGGACGAGAAGCUUGCUGUUCUGAUGUUAGCGGCGGACGGGUGAGUAACACGUGGAUAACCUACCUAUAAGACUGGGAUAACUUCGGGAAACCGGAGCUAAUAACGGUUAAUAUUUUGAACCGCAUUGUUCAUAAGUGUAAGACGGUCUUGCUGUUACUUAUAGAUGGAUCCGCGCUGCAUUAUCUAGUUGGUAAGGUAACGGCUUACCAAGGCAACGAUGCAUAGCCGACCUGAGAGGGUGAUCGACCACACUGGAACUGAGACACGGUCCAGACUCCUACGGGAGGCAGCAGUAGGGAAUCUUCCGCAAUGGGCGAAAGCCUGACGGAGCAACGCCGCGUGAGUGAUGAAGGUCUUCGGAUCGUAAAACUCUGUUAUUAGGGAAGAACAUAUGUGUAAGUAACUGUGCACAUCUUGACGGUACCUAAUCAGAAAGCCACGGCUAACUACGUG
rnacentral:rRNA from 1 species